rnacentral:tRNA from 1 species
UGUAGCGGUUGGGCGGCAUCGGCACGCCGAGAUUCUCCCGCAAUGUCGGCCCGGCGUAUUCGGUGCGGAACAUGCCGCGCCGGCGCAAC